ACGCUCGACACCUACGGGCAGCAGUGGGGAAUAUUGCACAAUGGGGGAAACCCUGAUGCAGCGAUGCCGCGUGAAGGAAGAAGUAUCUCGGUAUGUAAACUUCUAUCAGCAGGGAAGAAAAUGACGGUACCUGACUAAGAAGCCCCGGCUAACUACGUGCCAGCAGCCGCGGUAAUCUGAGCGGGCUGGCAAGGC
rnacentral:rRNA from 1 species